AUUGAACGCUGGCGGCAUGCUUUACACAUGCAAGUCGAACGGUAACAGGUUAAGCUGACGAGUGGCGAACGGGUGAGUAAUGCAUCGGAACGUGCCCGAUCGUGGGGGAUAACGCAGCGAAAGCUGCGCCAAUACCGCAUACGAUCUGAGGAUGGAAGCGGGGGACCGUAAGGCCUCGCGCGAUCGGAGCGGCCGAUGUCAGAUUAGGUAGUUGGUGGGGCAAAGGCUCACCAAGCCAACGAUCUGUAGCUGGUCUGAGAGGACGACCAGCCACACUGGGAUUGAGACACGGCCCAGACUCCUACGGGAGGCAGCAGUGGGGAAUUUUGGACAAUGGGCGAAAGCCUGAUCCAGCAAUGCCGCGUGCAGGAAGAAGGCCUUCGGGUUGUAAACUGCUUUUGUACGGAGCGAAAAGGUCUCCUCUAAUACAGGGGGCUCAUGACGGUACCGUAAGAAUAAGCACCGGCUAACUACGUGCCAGCCGCCGCCGUAA
rnacentral:rRNA from 1 species